rnacentral:rRNA from 1 species
UACGUAGGGACCAAGCGUUGUUCGGAUUUACUGGGCGUAAAGGGCGCGUAGGCGGCGUGGUAAGUCACUUGUGAAAUCUCUGAGCUUAACUCAGAACGGCCGAGUGAUACUGCUGUGCUAGAGUGCAGAAGGGGCAAUCGGAAUUCUUGGUGUAGCGGUGAAAUGCGUAGAUAUCAAGAGGAACACCUGAGGUGAAGACGGGUUGCUGGGCUGACACUGACGCUGAGGCGCGAAAGCCAGGGGAGCAAACGGG